UUCGAUGGUUCCUGAAUCCGCUGAACGAACACGAAUUUCAGCAAUUUUGAGAUUAAACCGAUCAAACAACGAAUACAAACCAACUCAGGUGAAAUUUCACUAAAAAUCCAAGGAGACAAUCAGAUUUCCAAAAAUCACUUCAUUCUCGACUCUUUUUCAUAGUAUGUCCGCAUGUGUGUAGGUAUUAUGUGGAUUUUGAAUAUGUAUUCCCCUAAUUUCUCAUUGGAAUAUAAUCGUGAGUAUAUAGAUGAGUGUCUGUGUGAUUAUCUGUAGUUUAUGAUCUGUGCGCCUCAUAAUUUCAGAGAAUGGUGGUGUAUUCCAUAUGUUCAUAUGGUAUAUUUGUGAGAUGGUGUUGAUAAUGAAGUGGGUG
rnacentral:lncRNA from 1 species